CAGCAGCCACGGGAAUACGUAGGUGGCAAGCGUUGUCCGGAAUUAUUGGGCGUAAAGGGCUCGCAGGCGGUUUCUUAAGUCUGAUGUGAAAGCCCCCGGCUCAACCGGGGAGGGUCAUUGGAAACUGGGAAACUUGAGUGCAGAAGAGGAGGGUGGAAUUCCACGUGUAGCGGUGAAAUGCGUAGAGAUGUGGAGGAACACCAGUGGCGAAGGCGACUCUCUGGUCUGUAACUGACGCUGAGGAGCGAAAGCGUGGGGAGCGAACAGGAUUAGAUACCCCUGUAGUCCCUGUCUCUUAUAC
rnacentral:rRNA from 1 species